GUUACCGUUGCCCGUUGUCAAACGCAUAAUCCAAUUCCCUAACUUGUCGUCAGGCUAUGCAACCCAACUGCCUCCCCUCCUCCAUCUGACCAUCUUUCACUCUUUGUUUUCCUUCUUUGCUUUCCGCUUUCUGCUUUCUGCUCUUUACACUUUCACUUUUUCCUUCUUUUGCAUCAGAUUUAGAACAAUUCUUGCAUUUUCAUUUGUUUGCUUGUGAGGAAAUGUACCCUUCCAUCACGGGCAAC
rnacentral:lncRNA from 1 species